GACGAACCGAGCGAACGUUGUUCGGAAUCACUGGGCUUAAAGGGCGCGUAGGCGGGUGCUCAAGUCCGUGGUGAAAUCCUCCGGCUCAACCGGAGAACUGCCUAGGAUACUGGGUGCCUCGAGGGUGGUAGGGGUAUGCGGAACUAUCGGUGGAGCGGUGAAAUGCGUAGAUAUCUGGAGGAACACCGGUGGCGAAGGCGGCGUUCUGGACUGCAACUGACACUGAUGAACGAAAGCCAGGGGAGCAAACGGG
rnacentral:rRNA from 1 species